GACGAACGCUGGCGGCGUGCCUAAUACAUGCAAGUAGAACGCACAGUUUAUACCGUAGCUUGCUACACCAUAAACUGUGAGUUGCGAACGGGUGAGUAACGCGUAGGUAACCUGCCUGGUAGCGGGGGAUAACUAUUGUAAACGAUAGCUAAUACCGCAUAAUCUUGAUUAUUGCAUGAUAAUUGAUUGAAAGAUGCUAUUGCAUCACUACCAGAUGGACCUGCGUUGUAUUAGCUAGUAGGUGAGGUAACGGCUCACCUAGGCGACGAUACAUAGCCGACCUGGGAGGGUGAGCGGCCACACUGGGACUGAGACCAGGCCCAGACUCCUACGGGAGGCAGCAGGAGGGAAACUUCGGCAAUGGACGAAAGUCUGACCGAGCAACGCCGCGGGAGGGAAGAAGGGUUUCGGAUCGGAAAGCUCUGUUUUAAGAGAAGAAAGGGUGUGAGAGUGGAAAGUUCACACUGUGACGGUAUCUUACCAGAAAGGGACGGCUAACUACGUG
rnacentral:rRNA from 1 species